AACGGUGAGUAACACUGGGCAACCUGCCAAAGAGGGGAUAACACUUGGAAACAGGUGCUAAUACCGCAUAACCAUAGUUACCGCAUGGUAACUAUGUAAAAGGUGGCUAUGCUACCGCUUUUGGAUGGGCCCGCGGCGCAUUAGCUAGUUGGUGGGGUAAAGGCUUACCAAGGCAAUGAUGCGUAGCCGAACUGAGAGGUUGAUCGGCCACAUUGGGACUGAGACACGGCCCAAACUCCUACGGGAGGCAGCAG
rnacentral:rRNA from 1 species